GGCAGAGUUGCCGCGUCUUCUGAAGCACUGGGUGUGUGCGGAGAGGGAAGGAGCCGGUCGGUGCCGGCGGCCCACAGCAGCCAAGGAAAGGGGUGAUUGGGCAGAGGGGAUUUAAAGGGAAGUGACUCAAAUCAAACCGUCUCUCAUAACCAAGAUCUGCCCCAUAGAAGCUGACGGCCAGGGGCAGAGGAAGCAUGUCAUUCCUCUCCUUCCUCCACCAUCCCCCCAUCCUCCCUCCCCAAUUUUUUUCUUUACAUUUGAGUAAAAAUCAUUCUGUUUUUGA